rnacentral:rRNA from 1 species
GGGAGGGGAUUAGUGGCGAACGGGUGAGUAACACGUGGGCAAUCUGCCCUGCACUCUGGGACAAGCCCUGGAAACGGGGUCUAAUACCGGAUACUGACCCGCUUGGGCAUCCAAGCGGUUCGAAAGCUCCGGCGGUGCAGGAUGAGCCCGCGGCCUAUCAGCUUGUUGGUGAGGUAAUGGCUCACCAAGGCGACGACGGGUAGCCGGCCUGAGAGGGCGACCGGCCACACUGGGACUGAGACACGGCCCAGACUCCUACGGGAGGCAGCAGUGGGGAAUAUUGCACAAUGGGCGAAAGCCUGAUGCAGCGACGCCGCGUGAGGGAUGACGGCCUUCGGGUUGUAAACCUCUUUCAGCAGGGAAGAAGCGAAAGUGACGGUACCUGCAGAAGAAGCGCCGGCUAACUACGUGCCAGCAGCCGCGGUAAUACGUAGGGCGCGAGCGUUGUCCGGAAUUAUUGGGCGUAAAGAGCUCGUAGGCGGCUUGUCGCGUCGGUUGUGAAAGCCCGGGGCUUAACCCCGGGUCUGCAGUCGAUACGGGCAGGCUAGAGUUCGGUAGGGGAGAUCGGAAUUCCUGGUGUAGCGGUGAAAUGCGCAGAUAUCAGGAGGAACACCGGUGGCGAAGGCGGAUCUCUGGGCCGAUACUGACGCUGAGGAGCGAAAGCGUGGGGAGCGAACAGGAUUAGAUACCCUGGUAGUCCACGCCGUAAACGGUGGGCACUAGGUGUGGGCGACAUUCCACGUCGUCCGUG